rnacentral:lncRNA from 1 species
GCCAAGUUCGGAUGGAACUCGAGUACUGUCUCUAGUUCCAUAUAAACGGUAAAUAAUUUUGAAGAGUAAGGACUCUAGAUCACCGGAAACACAAGGCCCCUACUCUGAAUAUGUUUACAUUCAAAUUUGAUUGGAUCGACGUCAUAACAUCCGGGAUAUCGAGUCGAUCUCUAGUAACCCUGCCACAACCCAGGGCUCGUUGAGUUCUAAUGGCGGGAAAGCUAUAUCCAAUCAUAACAGGUGUUAUAUAUGACCAUGUCAAUCCUAUCUACUCUAGAUAUCCAUCCGAACUUGGCCUUCUAUUGUAGUAUUUUAAUCAGUAUGAUUUUAAAAGAUGACAAUACGAAUACUAAAAAUCUAGACUUAAAAUAAGGCUUAUAGGUACAGUUUUCAAUUUGUUAGUCGGCAUGACACGAAACAGUGAAACAAAGAAUUCAACUAAUACUGGACAAUGCCGUUGAUAAAAAAUUACUCCAUUCCAGGCCCUUUUGUUUUUCAGAUAAUUAAUAUUACCAAUAAUUGAUAAGUUCCAGGUUGACGGUUUCAAACAGAAAGAUUUUGAAAGUAGAGAAACUGUGCAUCUUAAAAUCAGCAUGACUUUAUCAGAUGACAAUAUCAAUACUAAAUAUCAAGGCUCAAAUAAGGCUUACACAUAUUUAUAUGCUUUAAUUCAGUCACGGACCAGCGAUUUCACGGGUGUGUUCUAGUAUAUAUUAUCCUUCACAAGGUGGUGUAACUUGUUUUAAAAUGUUCUUUGCAUUUCUUUGGGCAUUUUAUAUUUUCAAUAAAGAACUUGCUAUACAUAAAGUAUUUUAGAACUUCUUUAGAUAAGUGAGUUUACCUAAUACAAAAAAAAAAUAACUGUUCACCAUAUUGGCAUGAAGAAAAAUUUUGCAAAUAUUUAGAUAUUCAUGAUAUUAGUGAAUGAUAAAUUUGGGUCUUCUCUCAUAUAAAAGCAUCAAGCAAAUUAGAAAAUCAUGAAAAUUAUGUUGCCACUAAGUAGGCAGGAGAGGACAUAACGCUAAAUAAAGUAUUGGGAAAAUAAGUAGGUUAUAGUAUUAACUAUUUCUCAAAAAUUUGUCAUCUUACAUGAUAAAAUAUUCCUGGAAGGACAAGCAUCACUGGUGAGUCUUUUGUAGACGAAACGUGUCUGGUGCAAAUACAAAAUUUCAAUCCUGGUAUCUAUGAUGAGUUUAUAUACAUAUUCUUUCAGGAAUCAGAAGAACAUAAUUAUGUAGUUUCAAGCAGAUGGCCAAUAACUUAUAAAUGGAUAAACCUUGUGCUCAGAUUAUCUUACAUUCUCAUAAAAGUAAAAUUUAUAAGCUGUUAUUCACAUGAACUGACAAUUAAAUUUAGGUCCUGAAUUUUAUAUAAAGCAAUAUCCAUGAAAUGCUUGGACAUAUUUUUUCAUUGUUUCUGUCUGUCAAAUAUAUGUAUGACUAAUUUUAGGUCAUAUUGAUAUAAAAAUGAAAAAAAAUAUCAUGGCCAUAAUCAAAUUUGACAGUGCUAUGUCUAUGAGGGUUAUUGAUACAUUUUAUAUUAAACUUUAUGUAUUAUGUAUUAUAUAAUUGUUUUGAGUUAUUUAUUCUAUAUUUGACUACAUUACUAGUAUAUAAUUAACUUUACUGUAUGAG